rnacentral:tRNA from 1 species
GAAUGCGUAGCUCAGCCGGUAGAGCAUCUGCCUUUUAAGCAGAGGGUCGCAGGUUCGAGUCCUGCCGCAUUCA